rnacentral:lncRNA from 1 species
ACUUUAUGAACUAUCCAACAGUUGAAUUUGGUGCUUUGUAGAGCAGUAACAUUUUUGCUUCAAAAACAAAACAUUGUUUUCUGUAUGUGUGUAAUUUGCUUAAUGCAAAAAUAGAAUUGUUCCUUCAAUUGAAUGUAACAAGGAGUUGGAAAUAAAGAAUCAUAGUUAAAUGAUGAAUUGAGAAUAGAAAUCGGAAAUAUGUCAUAGAGACAACAACCCGACCAAAGAGCAGACACAAGCCGACGGCCUACAAUGGUUCUUCAACGCAGCGAGAAAAUCCCUCGGGCCAAGUCUUUCUUCUGAAAUACGAAAUCAAGAUGUCAGUAUCUUAUCAAAAGGAAAAUCCUGUUCACUCCUUUUAUGUUCAUACUUCCUUGAAUGUGUCCAACAGAUAACAACAAUCUCGAAGAUAUGAAGAGGGUUCACUUCUUAUAUUCAAGAUAAUAUGUUCCGCUUGAAUAUGCCAUUUUUUCAAGCUUGAAAAAAUGUAAACUAUCAGAAAUAUAUGAUUAGGUCACAAAGGGUUCCUACAUCUUGUCUGUCAUCUUUCUUGAUGUUCCCGACUGUGAUUUAUCAACCAAUUUUCUCUCUUUUGUCCCUUUAAUAUUCCACUGUUACAUUACUCACGAAGCGAAACCCCAAAAAUGUGAGAAAAAGGUAACAUAUUUAUCUUUGCAAUAUAUGAGAAGGUAUACAUUUUUAAAAUCUAAAUUAUAUGAAAAGGUAGGGAUAUAGAAACCCAGUAGUAUCCCUAUCAAUUAAGUAUUACAGUGGUAAAUCGAGUAUUAGUUAACGUAUGCGGUUUUUUUAAAAUACUUAAGCAGAAGUAUUUGGAUUUAAUCAAAAUAUCAACAACGACGGGGGCUCGAACGAAACUUCACAUAUACAGUUAUACAAUGAUUAAAAAUUAUUACAAGUGUAAGAUACUAAUAUAUAUUGUAUGGACAGUUUGAAUAAAAGUAUUUGGACCCCAAAAACCAUUUGUUACAAAUUCAUUUAGAUAUUGUACUAGAAUUCGACGGAGGAGGUUUUGUAAAAAAGACCUCUUCUGAAAACUUGCAACUCUUCAUUUUCUUUUCAAGGAUUUUCAAUUUAAUGAAGUAAUUAUCUGAAUAGUAUGUUGUUCAUGUCUUAUAAAUAUUCCGGGCC